GAAGCCAGGCCAAGAAGAAUCCCAGGACUGGAAGGCCUUGUGGGACGUCCCAGGUUUGUCUUGUGUCAAUAGCACUGAUACUCAAUCUCCUACUCCCAUCUGUGAGCAUGCAGACCCUACUUGCCUUCCCACAGCCUCCCUUUUCAUAUUUUUCAUGUUUCUUUAGCUCUGUCUUCAAGCCUUGUUGCUCCCGCAAAAAAACCUGCCUCUUCCUCCAGUCCUCCCAAGCAGGGGGAACAGUCCUGACACCUUUCCAAGCCCUGGUCCAUGGACAUUGUGCCCCCUUCUCCCUGCCCAUGGUGACCUGCUCCAAAACCCUCAAGGAGAAGGGAGUGUAUGUCAUUUCCUCCCUGUAAAGUAAAGAUAAUUUUGCAGGGGACUGUGUGGAUGAAAUGACAUGAUGCAUGGAAAUCCCUUAGCGUGUGCCUGGCAUGUAAACUGCAGGUGUCAUCAUUAUUACUGAGGAAUACUGAGUCCCGAACAUGGCUGUCUCAUUGGUGGACUGGGGUCUCCCCCAGGGCAUUCAUCUACUAUGUGUUUAUUGCACCCUUUUUCCAUGUGAGGCACAUGCCAGGGACUGGGCACAUGGUAUGAACAAGACACAGGUCAUCGGUGUCCUCUUGAGCUCCCUGGCUUGGCAGCAGAUGCAUACCUGGGAAGGAUGCUAGGUCAUCCGGGAACUCUACCUCCUUCAAAUCCCUAAGGACUGUGCUCCCAAUCCGCUUACGCUCAAGGAAGAACUGAUGAGGAAAUGGAGGCACAGACUGAUUAGAAAACCAGCUCAAGGUCAUGUUGCUGGGCUCUCUGGUGGAGCCUCUGUCUCACAGGUCACCUGCAGGCCAACACUCCCAGAAGCAGCUAGCACCAUGGUUGACCUCGUCCAGGUCCAGGGAAGGCCUCCCUCUCCAGGACUCCUUUAGAUUUCCCCAGCAUCCAGACCUCACCUGCCUAAGUGCUGUUGCCCUGGAAGCCACAGUGAGCACGAGCUCCAUCUUGCACCUUUACCAGCCAAUGGGGGUAAAGACAUUAGCUGGGUUACUCAGGCUGAAAUGCUCAAGACACUCUGUCUCAAGGGAUUUGUGGCUGUUUCAUCCUCAAGUAUAGGGGGAAUAGUGGCCAGGAAGAUCUCAGAGGUGGCUUCUGGAAGAGGAAUCUGGGUACUGGCUACCCUGCCUUGUGUCCCAUCAUUGGUCUGUCUUGCCUGUCUUGGAGCACAUUUCUCACCAAGCCAGGCAUGGUGGCGGGAGCCUGUAAUCUCAGCUCCUAGGGAGGCUGAGCCAGAAGAAUCGCUUAAACCUGGAAGCUGGAGGUUGCAGUGAGCCAAGAUCACACCACCACACUCCAGCCUGGGUGACAGAGCAAGACUCCAUCUCAAAAAGAAAAAAAAGAAAAAAAGGAAAUACUUCUAAGUUAUGUGAGAGAGUACAUACUGACAUUUUCAAUGGGUACAAUAA
rnacentral:lncRNA from 1 species